rfam:Cucumis sativus cultivar 9930 chromosome 6, whole genome shotgun sequence.
CUGUGAGAGGAAUGAUGUAUUAUUAUCGAGCUCUCAAAAUGCUGGCAUAUUUGGAUUCUGCUUCUGAGAUGGACAUUAGGG